UACGUAGGGGGCUAGCGUUGUCCGGAAUCAUUGGGCGUAAAGCGCGUGUAGGCGGUCCGGUAAGUCCGCUGUGAAAGUCGGGGGCUCAACCCUCGAAUGCCGGUGGAUACUGUCGGGCUAGAGUGCGGAAGAGGCGAGUGGAAUUCCUGGUGUAGCGGUGAAAUGCGCAGAUAUCAGGAGGAACACCGGUGGCGAAGGCGGGACUCUGGGCCGAUACUGACGCUGAGGAAGCGAAAGCGUGGGGAGCGAACAGG
rnacentral:rRNA from 1 species